UUUAUGAUGAUCUACUUCCACUUCAUGAAUAGUAAAUCUAUUUUUACUGAAUAAAGUAAGUAUAACAGUAGGCUGUUAGUAGUUAAGUUCUGGGGGAGUCAAAAGUUAUAUGCAUAUUUUUGACUGUGUGAGGAGUUGGCACCCCAACCCCCAUGUUGCUCAAGGGUCAACUGUAGUUUUAUAUGGCAUUAUUUUAAUCUUCAAAUACAAAAUUGUGAUAUAAUUUUACUUGUUUUUAUAAGACUUCAUUGGGUAUCUACUUUUAUGAUCCAUUGUGUACAGAGUGAUUUCCUGGGGGAACAUGAAGGUGAAUGAGAAAAAGUCCUGCUCUCAGAGGGCUUUAAGGAAGUGCAGGAAAGUGAUAACCCAGUGACCAGUUCAGAGCUAUAAUUUAUUAAUUAUAACUAAUUAAUAAAUAUACAUGAUAAUGAAACAUAUUUGGUUAAGAUUAUCACCACUCAUUUAAAGAUUAUCACCAAAAUUAUUCACUAAUCAUACAUUGACUAUAUACUGGAUUAAUAACUAGUCUUUGAGGUACUAUUUAUGUUUCUAAUUUUAUAACUGACCAAAACCUCUUUAAAGUAACUUUAAAGAUUCUGCCUUGAACUGAGAGUACUUGAAACAGUCAUCUGCUUUACUUUUCAGGUAAUUAUGGAAAAUAUUUUAAACUCUAGAAGCUUCAAUAAUGAUGUGUGAUUGGAUGGAAUUGAAUCAAACUGAAAAAGUAUUUCCUUAUAGCUUAAUGGUAUUGAAAAUGUCAUUUUAUUGAUGAUUUUGAGAUUAUUUGUGUUUAUGUUGGUAUUCAUUGUAAUAACUGGGAUCAGCCCUUAUAAUACUCUUUUCCUUUUCCUCACCCAGUAUAAGUUAUUGUAUUGGUGAGCAUUUAUUAUACUUUAUUUUCUUUUGUGGAAGUAAUUUGAUAUCUUGUACUGGUGACCUGUCUUUUUCCCUACCUUGACUGUAAAGAAUUUAGUAACAUUUAUUAGGAAAAUGAGUUAUAAUUUAUUAGGUGUACAUAAAUGGGCUAGCAAGAAAAAGAUAUUCUUUAUCUGAAAUCUGUUUUAAAAAGUACUAAGAAUUAUUCCAAUUUGCUUUUAGUAGAAGCAGUAUAUUUCUUUUAAGGAAAUUGUCUUAUAUAAUUUACUUGAAUUUUUAUUUAUUAAAGUUAUUGUUUGGAAACUUAUGUUGUAACCUUCAGUCUACUGGGGUAGAAUUCUGAUUGAGGUAGUUCCCUUAGAGCUUAUCCAAGAUACUGUUAGGUAUACCCUCUGUUUCCUAUGGUUCUGAACUCUUACUUUAUCCUAAAAUAUUCUCAAGUUUCUCCUGUUUUAAAAGUACAAAACUUUUUUUUUGGCAAAUCUGUAGAGGUUCUCUAGCUACCACUUUGUUUUCCUUUUCCAUUUGCCAAAAUGCUUCUUGAAAAACUAGUAUAACUUGUUGUCUCCUCUUCUUCAUCUUUCACUCUCUUCUGGCCAUUAUUUUCCAGCUUCUGUGCCUAUCAUUCUGUUGAAAACGCUAACAAAGGCCACAGAUUUAUAGCAUUUGACAGUGUUGACCUUCAUACAGCUGCUCUUGGUUUCCUUGACAGUGGUCUUGGCAGGUGGUACUUUUACUUUUUUGUUUCUUCUCAGUCUACUUGAUGCCCUGCAAUUUUCUUUGAUUUAUGUUUCUAUAUUGUUUUUUUCCAGGCGUCUACCUAUCUUUGAGCACUUCUCCGUCACACUGCAUGUUUUUCAGAGUUAUGUCGUUCUUCUUCUGAUUUUAUAAGAAUAAUUAUAGAGCAAACAUGUAACUGCCUCCUAAGUGAACAAAAAGAAUGUUAUUCAGCCUUAUGGAGUCAGUAUAAGAUUAUAUGCUGAUAACUCCAAAGUCUGUAUAUUCUGACCUUCAACUACCUGCUGAAUGUCCCCACUGCGUAUCUUUUUCUGAAUGUUCUGCAGGUACCUCAAGGUACAUCAAGAUUGAUAUAUCUUAAAUGAAUCUCAUCUUUUUUCUUAAGCUUGUUUUUCUUCCUGGUUUCUCUGAUAUUAAUCACUGGUGUCAUCAUCCUAAACUAUCAUGUCUCCUAAACAAGGAACUUACGAGCUUCUUUAGCCUUCCUUCCACUCCCACUUUAACUUUCAUUAGCAAUGUCUCCAUUUUGCCUCCCUUCCUCAUGGUCACAACUGCGGCGUUUCCCAAGUUCUCUCUCUUCAUUUUUGUUUCAUUUAUCUGAUUCAUACUAUCUCUACACAGGACUGUUUACUGCUGGAAGAAAGGAACCAUAUUCUCUUCAACUCUUAUCUUACUACGAAAAUCUUCAUACUUGAAAAUAUCGAAUGAGUGUUUUAAGGCAGUUUUACUUGGAAGUUGACAGAACAAGAUAAGUUAGACAUCAGUACAUUUUACUGUUACGUUGAAAUUAAAAUAACUAUUUACUUUUAUACAUAAAAUUAAGAUUUUAAAUGAAAGCAAAUUUUGAAUAAAUGUAGGUUUCAGUGAGUUAAAACAUUACUUUUUCUAAAUGACAGAAAAUAAGAAUACUCUGUUUAAUACUUUCUCUCUUCCUUUUUCUUUCCCUUCAGGAAAGGCUACUAGGAAAAACCAGAAGUGGAGAGGACCAGACGAAAACAUUAGGGCCAAUCUUCGUCAAUAUGGUUUAGAGAAGUAUUACCUUGAUGUCCUGGUUUCAGAUGCAUCUAAACCUUCCUGGAGGAAGGGCACAUAUUUUGAUGCAAUCAUUACUGAUCCUCCAUAUGGUAUCAGAGAAUCUACAAGAAGAACAGGUUCACAGAAGGAGAUACCAAAGGGGAUAGAAAAAUGGGAAAAAUGUCCAGAAAGCCAUGUUCCUGUUUCCUUGAGUUAUCAUCUGAGUGAUAUGUUUCUUGACCUGUUAAACUUCGCAGCUGAGACCCUCGUUUUAGGUGGAAGACUAGUCUAUUGGUUACCAGUGUAUACGCCAGAAUACACUGAAGAGAUGGUGCCUUGGCACCCUUGCCUGGAACUCAUUAGCAACUGCGAGCAGAAGCUUUCCAGUCACACAUCAAGGCGCUUGAUCACAAUGGAAAAGGUGAAGAAAUUUGAGAAUCGGGACCAGUAUUCACAUCUGCUAAGUGAUCAUUUUCUGCCAUACCAAGGUCAUAAUUCCUUCCGUGAGAAAUAUUUUAGUGGGGUAACAAAAAGAAUUGCCAAGGAAGAAAAAUCCACCCAGGAAUGAAAAUUAAGAUUUUGACAAUGAAGAAAGAAUAAGAAUUUGAUUUAAAAAGACAUCUGGAUGUGAACUUUCAUGUAUGAUCCAGAAAAUAGACGGUUACCUUGGUGGUGUUCAUCAGAGCUGCCUCCUUCCUGUCUAUUCUGGAAUUAGACAUAGUCCUAUCCUCAAUGAGCUCAUGGUCUGGAGGAUGGCGGUGGUAUGAAACAAAGAGGAAUUAUUAUAUCAAUUUUGUAGAUGAAGAAAUGGAAAUUCACAAAGCUUAAGCAACUUGAGGUGUUUAAUAGUGAGUAAUAUGGAGGUGGGAUUUGAACCUAUAUCUGACUGAUGAGAUCUGUGCUUCUGACCGUUUUACUCUACUAUCAAUAGCAAUUGGCUUUCAUCUCCUCUAGACAGUAAGUACGUUUCUCUAGGAUAAAGACCCUGGCCCAUUCAUCUCAAUGUCUAAUCAUAGUGUCUGGUUGAAUGAAAUUAAAUCCUCCUUCACAAAACCCUGAGGCUUUCAUUGGCAUGGAACUGCAUGUCACCACGUCCAAAAACAGCUCUGAGGAAAUACUCAGAAAAUUUAUCUGGAGGAAAAGAAGGAUAAAAAUCAUGGUCAAUGGAAACGUGGGCAAGAACUGUUUCUGCAGACCAUGAUGUUGUCACUAGUCUGCUAUGCUCCAGCAUUCUAGUGAACAUGAACUGUCAAGAACCAUCAAGAACCAGAGAAAGAGUAUAUAAACCCCAUGGAUUUACCUGAAAAGCACAGGAACUUUUCCUCUAUGAGCAGGUUCUGUUUUAUUCUUCCUUUCUUCAUGCGGUGGACCUGGUUGCAGGAUUUUUAUUAGACUUUUUCAAUUCAGAAUUUUAGGUCAAGAACUCAAAUGUCAACAUUGAGGAAUGUUUUCUCGUAAGUGAUAGCUGCUCUAUUACAGUCUCUAAAAAUAAUGUUUCGCCUCAGAAUCUGACAUCCGCUGUUUCUUUUUAAAUUUUAUCUUAUCACGGGCUCUCUGGCUCAAGCUGUCCACCAGAGAAGUGAAAGGCCAGAGGGGCCUUGCAGUACCCCCACCUCUCCUUCAGGCAACUCAGACCAAGUGUAGUCUAAGAGCCCUGUUGACUCUGCCCUCUCUCCAGAGAGAAUAGUCCAUUCACGAAUGGCUCCAUCACUCAGUGCGUAUGUGACACAAUGCAGAUCAAAGGGCGU